GGGGGCGGGGUCGCUUCCUCGCGACGCCCCCGCGCUAGCUCUCGCUGCCACCUGCCCGAGCGCCGCCCAGUCCCGGCCCGUCCGAGUCCAGUCCAAAGCGUCUCCCACCUUGGAAGCUAGAAGCCCUCUGUCCCGCGACCUGGUUCUCGCGUCCUGGCUGCCGUUGCCAAGGCGACGGGAGCGCCCGCCGAUUGGUCCGAUCCUCCGGCGAGGGGGAGCGGCCUGACGCGGGCGGGCCAGGAUUGGUGGGUCCCGGCGAGGUCCCGAGCGGGAAGCGCCGCCCCCAACCGCCUCCCCACGAGGAGGUCCAACGUCUGAGCGACAUAAACGCCGACAGAGACACCAACAGAAGCAGCGGGAGCCGGCGGCGGAGCUUGUGAGUCUGGGUGGGGCGGCGCGGAAGCCGGACUAACGGGGCAGCCCCUCCUCUGCGCGUCUGUAAAUUAGGGAAAUGGGCAGCCCAGCCCCAGGACUGGCUGAUUAUUGAUGAGGGAUGCACGGUGCCCUUCGGCGGAGAGCCUCUGACGGGGUGAUCUCAUCGGCCCUGCAUUUCAGCCGAACUGGACCCAAAUUCGAUAUUCCCUCUCCCACCUCCGGGUCAAUAGGAGAAGGCCUAUUGUCUGAACACUCUGGAGAGGUCAUGUUUCAGCCCCUCAUUUUACAGAUAAAGGAACCAAGACUCCCACAGAUUGAAUGAUUCCCCAUGAGCAUCAAACUCAAGCCAACAUUGGAUUCCAAAGGUCUAGACGUUCCCACUCUACCAGAAACUGGAACAGGCGUGACCCUGAAGCACAGAGGCCAGCUAGGAAACUGCCUCCAGGACUAUGAUUUCAUUGGCAACGGGAACUCUCAAGAUACCGGACAGCUCUCUCGCAGGAGGCACCUGCACUUGUCCACAUCACCGAGCGUGGGUGUGUCACAGCAAAGAUGGCAGCAUUCCCCAGCCCUUCCUCCUCCCAAGCGUGUGGGAGAUGAAACAUCUAUCACCUGAUGGCCUUGGAUUCGUUGGAGUGGGAGACCUCGGAGCCCUCAGGAAUUGGAUCCCAGAUGCCAGAUUGCCAGAUUUUGACAACCCUUCUAAACCUGACGACAUUGACUGAUCUGGUCACAAAUAGGAGUGGUUUGCAGACUUCAAAGUCUAACUUAACUACUCUUUCCCAUUCAAGCCUAAGUUUCUCCUCUUUCCCAAUGGUCACUAAUGAUGCCACUGGAUAAUUCAACGUUAUUCCUCGUUGGUACUGUUGGGACUUCUCCUUCUUGAAACUUCAGGAAGAAAAAUCACUCUGAGCUAGAGACCCACCGGAUUGACCCUGGCUCCUGCCCUUGCCCUUUGUGAGAGGCUGAAAAUUUCCAAAGGACUUCCAUUUCCCAAUUCCUCCUGCCCUGGCUUUAUAUGUAGACCAAGAUCUGCAGCUGGAAUCGAAUCCAAUUCAAUUCAAUUCAAUUCAAUUCAAUUCAACAAGCAUUUAUUAUGUGCCUGCUAGGUACCAGGUACUCCACUUGACACUGAGGGUACAGAGACAAAAAACAAAAUCGUCCCUGCCUUCGAUGAACUUUAAUCCUCAUUCUUCGAGAUACCCUGAAUCUAUAAGCCUCCAAAGGAAGAGGCUGGCCCUGUAGCUAAACAGUUUCUUCUUUCUCCCCCUCCUCCUGUUCUCCAUUUUUUCUCCUCCCUAUAGUUCAGAAGGUGGCACAGAGCUUCUCUACCCUCACCCCCCGAGUUGAUUUGGCAGAGCUGCUCUGCCCGCUCCCCCGGCUUAAUUUCUUCCCUUUGGAGUUCGUCUCCCUCUUCAUUAUUCUUCCCUAUUUUUUCCAUCUUGAUCCUGCCAUGAAUGAGGAGUAUGAUGUGAUCGUGCUAGACACUAGCCUCGUGGACUCCAUACUUUAGGGAUCUUAUCAGUAAAUGGAAAACAGUUCUAUGUUCUGUGGAUUGAAAUCCCUGCUUUCCCCCCCCCCCCCCAAUCCCAGGUGGUUUGUUUAUACCAAUGAUUUAAAGGCCAGCAUCACCUCAAUGGAAGAGGGGAAAGACUGGUAUGUGGACCUAAUUCCCAAAUUCCCUUUGGCUAAUGGUCAGUUGGUUAAGAUGCUGCUUUAUACAGAAGUCACCCGAUAUUUGGACUUCAAAAAUGACUGAGGGUAACUUUUACAAGAGGGAAAAUAUUCUCAGAUCCUAAUUUUUGAAUUGGAAGCCCCUGCUGGGCCAGCCGGGUAAUACAAGCUCGGUACACUCUGUAUGUUGCCAACUUUAAUGAAAAAGACUCUAGUACUUUUGAGGGUGUUAAUCCUAGGAAGACUCCAGUGUGAGAAGUAGACUAGAAGUUUGAUUUGGGUUAAGAUGUCAUAGAUUUCACUGGUCAUGCAGUUUGCCCUUUACAGGACUAAUGACUAUUUUGAUCAACCAUAUUAUGAAACCAUCAACGGGAUUAAACUCUAGAAUUAGUCUUUGGCAAGAUAAGGCAAAAGCCACUCUGUGGCCUUGGAGGGCUGUCCCAAGGAUUUACAAAGCUAAGUGCCAUUUGUGGAGGUACCUAUAUGCCGAACGAGCCAAUUGAAGUCAUCACAAAAAUUGGACAAAUGGCCGAUAUAUAAAAUCUGAGAUUGCCCAAUGAGAGCGGUAACCUGAGUUAUAUAAAAUAUUGGGUUAAAGUAGUGGCCCAGGGGAUCGGAAUUAUCUGUACCCCAAGUCUGCCACUUGAGUGCCCUAAUGAUGCUAACUCAUGCCAGCUCACACUUCCACAGAACCAGGUAAGUAGGAAAUGCGGUGACAAAUGGUACAAGGAAAUUAUAUAUUUCCAUGGUUGGUACUACUAUACCCAUGAAAGAAAUCAGACCAGCCACCGAGAGCCUGGAAACGGAUAUUUGUUGGCAUCAGCAGUCCCUAUAUUCCAACUGAUUUGGGAACAGAAAGCCAGAUAGCCAUUCCUUAUGUCUCAGAUGUUACAUCUCAAUGUGCAACUACUUGUAAUGACAUUAAAGACAUUUAGAAAAAGA